UGUGUAGGCGGUUGUUUAAGUUUGGUGUGAAAUCUCCCGGCUUAACUGGGAGGGUGCGCCGAAUACUGAAUGACUAGAGUGCGGGAGAGGAAAGUGGAAUUCCUGGUGUAGCGGUGAAAUGCGUAGAUAUCAGGAGGAACACCGGUGGUGUAGACGGCUUUCUGGACCGUAACUGACGCUGAAACACGAAAGCGUGGGUAGCAAACAGGAUUAGAUACCCUGGUAGUCCACGCCCUAAACGAUGCAUAUUUGGUGUGGGCAGUUCAUUCUGUCCGUGCCGGAGCUAACGCGUUAAAUAUGCCGCCUGGGGAGUACAGUCGCAAGGCUGAA
rnacentral:rRNA from 1 species